AGGUUUUCUUCUUCACAAGGGAGUUUGCACUAGAGAAGAAGAAGACUAGAAUUUGCUGUAGUCUGUGCAAAUUGCAGACUGUUGUUGCAAAGACUCAAGGGCAGUUUUGAAGGAGACUGUGGGACUAUCUCUUCUUUUCCCCACUAUAAGGAGCUGGCCACAGUAUUCCACAGAGACUGAGAAAGAUAAGUUCUCCCAAAGGAGAGUUUUAAGGGAGUGUGUUCACCUCUGUGCAGAUACCUGACACAGCAGACCUCAAUCGAACUGCCCAAGAAGACUACAGACUCGGUUCAGCAGUGAAGGCGCUCGGCCAGGUUUAUUGUCAAUGAAGCAUGAGGAUAGUAUCCCUGCAGAGUCUAUGGGGUACUAAGACAUGUAUGACCAUUACAAUGGACCAGUUCAGUGAAUGGCAAGGCUUUCUGUCCCCUCCUCGGCCAGACAAAGGAUUAAGAAAUGGGAACUUACAACAGCUUGAAAAAGAGCACCUCCUUGUGGCAAUAUUGGCAGCCUGAAGGCAAGGUUAUUGCUAUUAGCCAGCUAUGAAACGUCUGACAGAGAGUAAGAGGAGUUGUCAGCCUUGCUUGAACCAUCAAGGAAAACUGAAGGGCACACAUCCUUGGUUCAGACAUUUAUCAACACAACAAGGUCACAAAGACUGAAAUGCAAUUCUCCUUUUGUCUUCAGCUCCUUUACCAUUCCCCCUUGGGAGAUGGCCCCUCACAAGCACAGCUCAAGACCACUGUUUUUGUUCUGAAAUGGGUUUCUGAAGCAAAAUGAAAAACAACCCAGUGUCACAGCAGUAACGUUAAGUUAAAUACCAAUAAUAUUUCCUUGCAAAGGAAGGAAAAGAAACAAUUUAUAAUUUCUGUAGAAAGUGUACGAGUCCUUGACAUGGAGAAAUAGGUCAACAUUUUAUAGAAAAGCAGUGAAUUCCUACAAAGCCAAAGGAAUAACUUGCAUUCACAGUGAAAACUGACUUUCAUCUCUAUGGAUCCCCAAGUGCUUUACAAAUUUCACAUAUAUUUAGGACUCUCAUCAUCCACCACUGACAUGCCUCUGCCUCUUCAUAAGAAAGCUCCAGAAUGCUGGGGAAUGUAAUCCAAAUUACUUUACCCUCCAUCCUCCCACCUCCACCCCAAGAGAGAUUGUAUUUCUUGCAGCAAAGACACUGUUUUGUUCCACCUCAGUGACAGCCAUAAGCAGUGCAACACCAUCCACAGAGAAUAAUGCUCAGCUAGUUGAGCAGCUAUAAGGUGGCAUUGCUAUUUAAGAGCACAGGGGGAAAUUAGAGUUGUGACUAGACAAGAACUCAAGCCAAGAUUGAUUCAAAACCCCAAAUUCUCAAAGUUUGAAGGGCACCAGGAAUGUGUUUUGGCCCACUGUUGGGAUAAUUGCCAGCUGCAAAAGUUGGAUAUGAAUAUGGAUCUGAAGUCUGGGUCUGUAUGAGCCUGGGAUUUUGGUUAGGGACUGUUUCUAAUAAGUGGAUUGGGGAUUUAACGGAUGACAAAGUACUUUGUGAAAUAAAGGUGAAAUAAAUGUAUCUAAGUGGCAAUUCAGUAUUCUUUUUGUAGUGUGGAAUGAUAUUUUUAUAUCAGUGCUUAGAUAAUGUCAGC